rnacentral:rRNA from 1 species
UACGUAGGGAGCAAGCGUUGCCCGGAAUCAUUGGGCGUAAAGCGCGUGUAGGCGGUUCGGUAAGUCUGCUGUGAAAGUCCAGGGCUCAACCCUGGGAUGCCGGUGGAUACUGUCGGACUAGAGUACGGAAGAGGCGAGUGGAAUUCCCGGUGUAGCGGUGAAAUGCGCAGAUAUCGGGAGGAACACCAAUUGCGAAGGCAGCUCGCUGGGACGUCGACUG